rnacentral:rRNA from 1 species
GGAAAAACUCCCUUGACGGUACUUAAUGAAUAAGCCCCGGCUAAUUAUGUGCCAGCAGCCGCGGUAAUACAUAAGGGGCGAGCGUUAUCCGGAAUUAUUGGGCGUAAAGGGUGCGUAGGCGGUUUAAUAAGUCUAUAGUUUAAUUUCAGUGCUUAACGCUGUUGUGCUAUAGAAACUGUUUUACUAGAGUGAGUUAGAGGCAAGCGGAAUUCCAUGUGUAGCGGUAAAAUGCGUAAAUAUAUGGAGGAACACCAGAGGCGUAGGCGGCUUGCUGGGACUUUACUGACGCUGAGGCACGAAAGCGUGGGGAGCAAACAGGAUUAGAUACCCUGGUAGUCCACACCGUAAACGAUGAGUACUAAGUGUCGGGUAAAACCGGUACUGAAGUUAACACAUUAAGUACUCCGCCUGAGUAGUACGUACGCAAGUAUGAAACUUAAAGGAAUUGACGGGACUCCGCACAAGCGGUGGAUCAUGUUGUUUAAUUCGAAGAUACACGAAAAACCUUACCAGGUCUUGACAUUUUCUUGCGAAGUUAUAGAAAUAUAAUGGAGGUUAUCAGGAAAACAGGUGGUGCAUGGUUGUCGUCAGCUCGUGUCGUGAGAUGUUAGGUUAAGUCCUAAAACGAGCGCAACCCUUGUCGUUAAUUGCCAGCAUGUAAUGAUGGGGACUUUAACGAGACUGCCAAUGAAAAAUUGGAGGAAGGUGGGGAUUACGUCAAAUCAUCAUGCCCCUUAUGAUCUGGGCUACAAACGUGAUACAAUGGUUGAUACAAAGAGUAGCUGAAACGCGAGUUCUUAGCCAAUCUCACAAAAUCAAUCUCAGUUCGGAUUGAAGUC